UCUCGAUAGCGUAAAAGUUAACUCAAAUUUGUAUGGAGUUGGAACGUUUGCGUACGUUUGCCGCUAGGGGCGCUGUUUCAAUUGCAUACGAAUAUGAGUUAACUUUUACGCUAUCGA
rnacentral:pre_miRNA from 9 species